GAUGAACGCUGGCGGCGUGCCUAAUACAUGCAAGUCGCGCGAAUGGAUUAAGAGCUUGCUCUUAUGAAGUUAGCGGCGGACGGGUGAGUAACACGUGGGUAACCUGCCCAUAAGACUGGGAUAACUCCGGGAAACCGGGGCUAAUACCGGCUAACAUUUUUAACCGCAUGGUUCGAAAUUGAAAGGCCGCUUCGGCUGUCACCUAUGGAUUGACCCGCGUCGCAUUAGCUAGUUGGGGAGGUAACGGCCCACCAAGGCAACGAUGCGUAGCCGACCUGAGAGGGUGAUCGGCCACAGUGGGACUGAGACACGGCCCAGACUCCUACGGGAGGCAGCAGUAGGGAAUCUUCCGCAAUGGACGAAAGUCUGACGGAGCAACGCCGCGUGAGUAAUGAAGGCUUUCGGGUCGUAAAACUCUGUUGUUAGGGAAGAACAAGUGCUAGUUGAAUAAGCUGGCACCUUGACGGUACCUAACCAGAAAGCCACGGCUAACUACGUGCCAGCCGCCGCCGUAA
rnacentral:rRNA from 1 species